GAUGAAGAACGUAGCGAAACGCGAUAGUUAAUGUGAAUUGCAGAAUUCAGUGAAUCAUCGAGUCUUUGAACGCACAUUGCGCCCCUCGGCAUUCCGGAGGGCAUGUCUGUUUGAGCGUCAUUUCAACACCCUCGCUUUAAGCGGUAUUGAGGCGUGGAAUCCAUAUCAAUGGAACCAAGCUUUUAAAGUUGAAGGCAAGCAGAACGAAUGUCUUGAACAAAACAUAGUAAAAUCUUCACGGUUUCUCCUGUUUGUCCUCGAUGUUACGUCUCGCCCAAACAAUUUUUUUUUUAGUUUUGACCUCAGAUCAGACAAGGAUACCCGCUGAACUUAAGCAUAUCAAUAAGCGGAGGA
rnacentral:misc_RNA from 1 species